rnacentral:misc_RNA from 1 species
AACCAUAGAAACCUGCGGAGUACCUGCGGAAGGAUCAUUACCGAGUUUACAACUCCCAAACCCCUGUGAACAUACCAAUUGUUGCCUCGGCGGAUCAGCCCGCUCCCGGUAAAACGGGACGGCCCGCCAGAGGACCCCUAAACUCUGUUUCUAUAUGUAACUUCUGAGUAAAACCAUAAAUAAAUCAGAACUUUCAACAACGGAUCU